CCUAACCACAAUAUGAUUAUUGU
rnacentral:snRNA from 1 species